CUAUUAUGCCCUAAAUCUUCUCUCUCAUGCUCAAAAAUCCAAAAAUCUGACAUUGUUUGAUUCUUGAAGGUUUUUGCUCAAAAGCAUCAUAUUUCAAGAAUUUUCAAACAACAUACACAAGGUAAGGUCAUAUUCCCUCUAUUUCUCAAUGUUUGGGUAGUUUUUUCUUUUCUUGUGUCGUUGAACCUCUUUGAAUUUUAUAUGUCGAACCAGAUUGUUCCUAGUAUGGCUUAUAUAAUCCAAACUGAAUCAAUAUCUGUUAUUUUUGGUGAUUUGUGGAUUUACGUAUAUGCGAUGUUGCAUGUUUCGGCUAUGGACCACCUUAGAAAUGACAGACCUUCUAUGGCUGCUUCUUCUAGGCGAGAGUGGUACGCGAGGAAUGAAGUGGAAAGGAGAGUGGUCAGGGG
rnacentral:lncRNA from 1 species